UUGUUCUUGUCUUCUAGCAGAAGAAUUUCGUUGUCAUUGUGAGUUUGUUCUCGUUAGAAACGUAAAACUUGACAGGUUUCAUGAAGUGUUGCGUCUUAAACUGUGUAAUGCAACACGAACGGAGUAAAGUUUUCUCUUACUAACUGCGGAUACACUAUUAUUCUGGCGACAUGGCUGAUGGUGACAAUCAUGUUGUCAUCAGUGAACCUGUUAUUACAAUUUUUCAACUUAGUGAUUAUGCAAAAGGGUUGGUUGGGGUUAAAAAGGAGUUUUAUCUAGAAAAAUUAACAAAGUGUAAUAUAGACUGCCCGUAUUACAUUCCAAAGGAACAUUGGGUUUGUGAUCCAUCCAUCAUUGAAAAAAUAUCCCCACGCCAGCUGUCAGAACAUGACGUCUAUAUGUAUUUAAUUGCUAGAAGAAGUCAGGACACAGGACUUCAAUUAAAAGCCAUGAAAACUAUACAAACAGCCAAUUUCAUGGUAAGUAAUGGUUGGGUAAGUAAAUUGUGUGCUAUUAAACUUCGACAUGGGGCUGUCAUUUUUAAAGGAAAUGUACGACAUUCUAUGAGUUUCAACAGCAAGAAAGAUUUGUGUACAUGGGUAGCCAUCCAUGAAAAUGCUAGUGUUAUGGCUGGACACUGUACAUGCACUGUUGGGUAACUCUAACCUUAUAAAUAACAUAGUAUUUAAAACAUUGUUUUGGUUAACUAAUAACAUUGUAUGCAUUACAUUUUAACAGGUUAGGUGGAGUUUGUACACACUUUGGUGGUGUACUUUACAGUAUCAUGAAUCUUAUAACAACCCCUUGAACAUCCAAAGAAAAGUCUAGGAUUUGUUCAACCAAAACCUUACCUGUGAACUUAAGUACCAGUAUUGCAGAUUUAAAGUGUGCAACUACUAACAACAAAAGUCCAUUGACUGUUUUAAAAAGACAAAAAAAAUGAUGAAUAUACCAGAAAUGAAAGAAAAAGAAAUAGAUGAAUUGAAUCAGGUGUUACUGGAAAACCGGGCGGUGCAGCUUCAUGUAGUAAAUGCCUUUGCUGACUACUUUACUCCAAAACCAAUCCCAACUCGGUUGAGUUCAGUAUUUAACCCUUUAUUCAAAAACGGAAAAACGCUAACAGACAUUUUAGAGGAAUGCAACAGAUUGCUAAGGAC